UUGAGUGGAAUGCUGGAAAUGAAGUCAACAGAGCAGAAACAAGUGACUAAUCAGGCAGUGGAUGACUGAUUACUGAGGUCUGGGCCCCAGGGUGAUGUGUGUGGCCUACAGACAUGGAUACAGCAUUCAACAGUAAGGGUCUCAUGGAAUCUGACAAUGAUGAUCUCACAGUCUUGAGACUGAAGAGAAAGGCUAGGCAUCAACUCCGAGGCCCAUUCACAGUUGGAAAAAUUUGUCCCGGGAUCUUAAAUAAAGACCAAACAGGUGGAGGGAGAACUAGAUGAGGAGCAGUGGCUAAGACAGCAGAGAAGCCACCAGAUCAGCAGCUAUAAUCAAGGCUUUCUAUAAUGAGAAACACUAAAAAUAUCUGAAGGAAAAUAACCAGGACAGAUUACUCCUCCUGCCAGCCCACACCCUGCUGCUUAAGAAAAAUAAUAAAUAAGAACCAGCAUUGUGGAUUUUCCAGAAGUCAUAAAUUGUUUUGAUAUUUUUAGUAAUUCAAUAACCACAUGUUUAAUAUGAGUAAAAUAUGUCUGAAAAUUA